GUACAAAAAUAAUGCAGAAGAUUAUUAAUAAUCUCAAACAUAUUUAGCCUCUCUGUAAUAAGAGGUCUAAAGUAAGUCAAUAUAGAUUUCUUUAGCAAUAAAUGUUUCAGUAUUUUAUCUUAUUAAAAGUGAUCUAAGGCUUACCUGGUGGCACAGUGGUUGAGAGUCCGCCUGCCGAUGCAGGGGACACGGGUUCGUGCCCCGGUCCGGAAGAUCCCACAUGCCACGGAACGGCUGGACCCAUGAGCCAUGGCCGCUGAGCCUGCGCGUCCGGAGGCUGUGCUCCAUAACGGGAGCGGCCACAACAGUGAGAGGCCCGCGUACUGCAAAAAAAAAAAAAAAAAAAAAAAAAGUGAUCUAGACAGUCAAUGAAUUGCCAUCAUUUAACUUAAUGUAGCAGAACUGUGAGGUUUCAAGUUAACAAAAAUCUGGAGAAAUUGUUUUCAGGUAGACACAUCAUAAAACGUAAUCAUUCUUAAAGAGUUCACCCAAAUACUUUGAUCCCAUUUAUCUCUAUUUCAUUACUUAUGAAAAUAUCAUACCAAGUUAAUUAUCUUGUUGACAAAUUUUAUAACAGAGGUAACAUGAGCUUAUUGGCAUUUAGUAAACCUAGGUACAAUAAAAGUAUUAUAUUUAAUGUUGAUGACUUUAAAGAUGUGUCUAUAUUAAUUAAACCAUUAACUAAAACUUGUUUUCACUUAUUAAAGAUUAAUCUCAGAUCAUAUGAACAUUUAAAAAUUUGGGAUAGCUUGAGUUACAUUCAGAAGUAUUUGAUUUCUAAGUACUUACUUUUAAGUCAAUUAAAUACAGCUCUUUUACAAAUUAUUUUUGGUAAUAUCAUCUGGAGGUAGGGACAUAUCAUAUUUAUAAUGUACACACAGACAUACAUAUAUCCAAAUAGACACAGAGGUCUCAUAGUUUUCCUGCUCGAGUUUUAAAAGGCCUCUUUUCCCUUUUUUUUUCUUUUUUCAGUUUUAGUUUCUACUAGUUGAGCUAAGACUGUAGUCUCAGGAAAUGUAGGAUGUGUUUACAUUUCAAGGACAUGAUAAGAGUUACAACUUCAAACUUUCUCCCAAAAUUACUUUUGUUCUCUCAGGGUCAGAAUUUUGAAAAGAUGUUUUAUUAAGCCCACUUUCUCUAAUUAGGCAUGCAAGAAUCAGUUUUGGAAUGUCAAAAAGUUCCACCCUGGCCAUGUUAAGAGUUAAGAUACACAGACUGAGAAGAUAUGAGAAAUGUUUAAUAAACAGCUAUAAGAUCUAAAGAACAGAGAUGAACAAUACAAUAACUGAAAUGAAAACUACACUAUAAGGAAUCAACAGUAGAAUAAAGAGGCAGAAGUAUGGAUAAGUGAUCUGGAAGACAGAAUGGUGGAAAUCACUGCUGUGGAACAGGAUGAAGAAAAAAGAAUGAAAAGAAAUGAGGACAGUCUAAGAGACUUCUGGGAAAACAUUAAACGCACCAACAUUCUCAUUAUAGGGGUCCAGAAGGAGAAGAGAGAGAGAAAGUACCUGAGAAAAUAUCUGAAGAGAUAAUAGCUGAAAAUGUCCCUAACAUGGGAAACAGUCACCGAAGUCCAGGAAGCACAGAGUACCAGGCAGGAUAAACCCAAGGAGGAACAUGCUGAGACACAUAUUAAUCAAAUUGACAAAAAUUAAAGACAAGGGCUUCCUUGGUGGUGCAGUGGUUAAGAACCCACCUGCCAAUGUAGGGGACACGGGUUUGAGCCCUGGUCUGGGAAGAUCCCACAUGCUGCAGAACAAAUAAGCCCACGCACCACAACUACUGAGCCUGUGCUCUAGAGCCCAUGAACCACAACUACUGAGCCCACGUGCCACAACUACUGAAGCCUGUGUGCCUAGAACCCAUGCUCCACAACAAGAGAAGCCACCGCAAUGAGAAGUCCAUGCACUGCAACAAAGAGUAGCCCCCGCUUGCUGCAACUAGAGAAAGCCCACGCACAGCAAUGAAGCCCCAACACAGCCAAAAAUAAAUAAAUGAAUUUAUUUUUAAAAAUUAAAGACAGAGAAAAUAUUAAAAAGCAACAAGGGAAAAGCAACAAAUAACAUGCAAGGAAAUUCCCAUAAAAUUAUCAGCUGAUUUUUCAGCAGAAACUCUGCAGGCUGGAAGGCAGUUGCACAAUAUAUUUAGAAGUGAUGAAAGGGAAGAACUUACAGCCAAGAACACUUUACCCAGCAAGGCUCUCAUUCAGAUUCAACAGAGAAAUCAAAAACUUUAC
rnacentral:lncRNA from 1 species